rnacentral:lncRNA from 1 species
GCGUCAUUUUAAUACCCUUAAAGAGGAAGAUGGACCGUUCACUAUCCCAAAACAUAAUAGCAGCUUCCACAAUCUUGUUAUCUAGCUUAACUUCCGGAAGUGAAGGAAGAUUUCCUAAGUGCUUGCGGACAAGAACCUGAUCACUACCAUGCAAAUCAUCCCACCAGCUUAGCAACUUUGGAUGAAUGUUUGAUAUCAUUCUGAAUCUGGGAACCUCGUGCCUCAUUUUCC